rnacentral:ncRNA from 2 species
UAGUAGGAUAGAGGAGCGCUUAUUAAGAGUACCUUUUGGAGCGGCAGCGAUGAAAAAAGGGAAAGGGAUAGGCGCCGAAAGAUUCUCGCAGCAUACGGGGGUCUUGGGCAUGCGUUUAAGAGGCGUAUGACUGUCACAGGUGUGGAGCGCUAUCGAUUAU